rnacentral:rRNA from 1 species
GAUGAACGCUGGCGGCGUGCUUAACACAUGCAAGUCGAACGUGAGGGUGUAGCAAUAUGCCUGAAAGUGGCGAACGGGUGAGUAACACGUGGAUAACCUGCCCUGGAGUGGGGGAUAACCAUUGGAAACGGUGGCUAAUACCGCAUAGAGCUAUUGAUUUGGGAGAAUCGAUAGGGAAAGCUCCGGCGCUCUGGGAGGGGUCUGCGUCCGAUUAGCUAGUUGGUGAGGUAAAGGCUCACCAAGGCGACGAUCGGUAGCUGGUCUGAGAGGACGAUCAGCCACACGGGAACUGAGACACGGUCCCGACUCCUACGGGGGGCAGCAGUGAGGAAUAUUGGGCAAUGGGCGAGAGCCUGACCCAGCAACGCCGCGUGGAGGAAGACGGCCUUCGGGUUGUAAACUCCUUUUGUACGGGGAAGAGAGAGGACGGUA